CGACCGCGACCCCAGGUCAGGCGG
rnacentral:rRNA from 3 species